UUCAAGAUGCCAACAUUUGAAGCAAUUUUAUUUGAAUUGCACGGAGCGAAUUACUUCUCCACGAUAGAUUUAACCAACGCUUUUUUCCACAUUGUCCUGGACGAAGAAUCACGACAUGUUACGAAUUUUUUUGCGGGAGGUUAUGCAAACCAUAAUACUUACCGGAUGCGAAGGAACUGUUAACUACCUGGAUGAUAUUUUGGUGGUCGGACGAACGAAGGAUGAACAUGAUCAAAACCUGCAGAAAGUUAUCAAAAGGCUGGAAGAGCAUAAGAGGAUGGCAAGUUGAUGUAAAGAAAAUAGGUGCAAUCAAAAACUUCCGAAAACCUGAAUCACAAGCAGAGGUCAAAAGUUUCCUAGGCUUAAUUACCUUCAUUGAACGAUUCAUUCCUCAGCGUGCAGAUAAAACUCGUUAUUUACGAGAAUUGGCAUUGCUAA